rnacentral:rRNA from 1 species
AGAACGAACGCUGGCGGCAGGCUUAACACAUGCAAGUCGAACGUCCUGUCUCGCAAGAGGCAGGGAGUGGCGGACGGGUGAGUACCACGUGGGUUAUCUACCGUGAGGUGAGGAAUACCGGCGAGAAAUCGCCGACAAGACCGCAUAGCCUCGGUGCAAGCCGAGCAAAGCUCUUUCGAGAGAGGGAGCGCCACACGAGGAGCCUGCGCCCGAUUAGCUAGCUGGUGGAGUAACGGUUCACCAGGGCGACGAUCGGUAGCUGGUCUGAGAGGACGAUCAGCCACACUGGGAUUGAGAACGGCCCAGACUCCUACGGGGGGCAGCAGUGAGGAAUUUUCGUCAAUGGGGGCAACCCUGAACGAGCAACGCCGCGUGCAGGAAGAAGGUUUUCGGAUCGUAAACUGCUUUUCUCGGGGAAGAGAAUGGACGGUACCCGAGGAAUCGAGCCCCGGCUAACUACGUGCCAGCAGCCGCGGUAA